UACGGAGGGUGCAAGCGUUGCUCGGAAUUACUGGGCGUAAAGGGCGCGUAGGCGGUUCGUUAAGUCCUGUGUGAAAUCCCCCGGCUCAACUGGGGAACUGCACAGGAAACUAGCGGGCUUGAGUUCGGGAGAGGGAAGCGGAAUUCCGGGUGUAGCGGUGAAAUGCGUAGAUAUCCGGAGGAACACCGGUGGCGAAGGCGGCUUCCAGGACCGACACUGACGCUGAGGCGCGAAAGCUAGGGGAGCAAGCGGG
rnacentral:rRNA from 1 species